UUGAAAGGGAAACGAUUGAAGUCAGUCGUGCUGGCGCGAAAUCAACCUUCCCGUCUUGAGAUCACAUGGCGUGGCGAGCCUCAAAACCGUCACGAAGCGUGAACUCUCUGUGAAAUGGAGCACUUUCGUGUCCGCUGGUUAACAUCAAUUUCGAACGUCAUAAAAAGGCUGGAGGGAUGUGGCUCCUUCGGGAGUGUUAUAACCUUUAGCGGAAUGUGGUGUUCGGGAUUGAGGAUUGCAACGAAUACCUUUAGGGCUGUUCCACCUGGCCUCUCUUUGGUAUCCUGGUGACGACAGCUUGCUGACGUCGUUAGGAUUCGCCUUUGAACAGGUUAGAGUGUGAGCAAAUUCGUUAAGGAUGUUGACGUA
rnacentral:rRNA from 1 species